rnacentral:lncRNA from 1 species
GAGAGGCAUUUUGGAAUUUGUCGUUGGAUUGUUGAAGUGCCGGUUUAAUUCAUUCAUGUAUCUGCAUCUUCAAUAAACCUUCCUAGAAGGCGUCCAAUGUGACAGGUAGGGGGGCUCCCAGGAGGAAUUUACAUCCUGGAAGUACAGUUUCUUUCUUUUUUGGAAAGAAAUUUUAUUGUCGUAGAGGGGACUUACAACCUCGCCUGAGUUUCUGUGGUGCGGCAAAGUGAAUUUCAGGUCAGUGCUGUCCACAUCAGAGCCGUGAGCACAAAUGCACGGAUUGUACUCUGCUCCGCCCCUGCCUGUCUCCUUCAAGUUCAGGGGCCUCUUCUGGAACCCAUAAAUAGGACAUUGGGAGUUCCCUUCGUGGCUCAGGAUUGAACCCACAACCUCAUGGUUCCUAGUCGGAUUCGUUAACCACUGUGCCACGACAGGAACUCCUAGAGUUCCUUUUUAAAAAAAAAAAAAAAAUUUUUUUUAUUUAAGUGUGGUUGCUUUACAAUGUUCUUUCAAUUUCUCCUGUACAGCAAAGUGACCCAGUUAUCUAUCUGUCUGUCUGUCUGCCUAUCUAUCUAUCUGCACAGUCUCUCUUUAUUUAUUUUUUUCAUUCUAUCUUCCAUCGUGUUCUAACCCAAGAGACUGGACCUCGUUCCUCGUGCUGUACAGUGGGACCAAGCAUACAGAGAACUUUGGGCAGUGCCCAGCACACAGCCACUGAUGGAUACCUAUCAAUCGUGUUAGGAAAGAGAGAAAAAGAAGGAGGGGGACGUGGAGGAAAAGGAACAAGAGGGCCUGGGAGAGCAUGGAGUGCGGAAAAAGAAAAGAAAGGAAAGGAGGGAGACUGGAGAGAGAAGAGAAGACGGGCCCCCCUCCCCCCGGGGCACGUUGUUUGCGCGUUUUCAAGCCUGGCCCACAUUGUCCCCGCCAGGUCCUCGCGGGCCCGGUUGCACAUACUAAACACAGACUCCAGACACGGACACAAUAGGCCAGCGCCACGCCGUCCACACCUUCACUUUGCUGGACAGAAGCGUUUCCUUGGUGCAACUUUAUGACCCGGAAACCAGACGACACAAACUAUGAGCGUUUUCUAUUUUAUAGCGAAAUAUAACGCCGUACUUUUAUGUCUCUUUCAUGAGUUUGGGAGCGUGAGCCACAGAGGCAUGCCCGUGGCAGGUACCCCCACCUCACCCUGGGGGGUGUUUGGCGGUGGGGGGGGUGCCUCCCUUCCACCAUAUGAAAUAUUUCUGGUUGUCCAGUUAAAACGGGGAGAUAGCCGUGAUUGCUUUUAGAUUGCUGCUUCCACAUGGAGUGAAUUUUAUAAUAAGAAGCCAUUUUUCCCCCCCACCGGGCUGCCCUUGUGCCCGCCUCUCUGACUUUGAGGUCCUCAUUAUUGUGGGUUUAAAUGAAGGCUGUUCAUUCAGGCAGGGACGGAGGGGAGGCCACCAGGCAUCAGAGCUGUUAUCAGGCCCCUCUAUCAGGCCAAGUGACAGGCGUCCGGAGCAAGAAUGCAGAGCUCACGGUGGAGACCUCCAGCUGACACCAAAGGUGACUCCCCUCACUCUAACCUUGAAAGGGAAAGUUCCCACUUUAUUAAAAUGAAUUUCAAAAGGGCCGCUCUGACAGCUGCAUAAUUAAAUAUUGGAGUGUCAGCGAUAAUUUAUUCCACUCGCAUGUGGUGGUCAGAUCCUUUUCACAAGAGGGUCAGCAGGCAUGGUGACAGAGGCAAGGAGACGGGGGAUUCUAGGCCCUUUGUCCUUAAUGGAACCCCAGCCCUGACAUCGGAGACUCAUGACACAUACAAACACACGCAGGUGCGCACCACCCCCCCCACCCACACAGAUGCACAUGUCCCGGAAAGGUCUGUUGUGAUCCACCCAGUUCAAAUCUGAUAUGUGUUCAUUAGGAAUAGGACACAUGAUAAAAACAAUAUAUUUUUAUAUAUAUGUGAAGGACUAGGUCACUUGAUAUUGUCCAGUAGCUAUUGACAGAACACUGUAAAUCAACUAUAAUGGAAAGAAUAAAAAGCAUAAAAUAAAAGUUAAAAAAAGGAAUAGUACACCUAAGAUGCUCAACACAUGUGUGUAUAGACUUUCAACCUAUGUUUGGGGGGCUCCGUGAACACCAUAGCUCUUUCUGGGGAAGCGGCCUUCCCCGGCUCCCUAACUGGUCUCUUCCUCCAGCGAACUUGAUGCAGGAGGGGAUCCCAGAGAGGAGAGUGGAUAGAACUGCCGGGACAGGAGCUUCUGUACAAGCAGGUGCAGAGCCAGUGACUUCCUACACUCAGCGUAGGCUCUUUGGUGUCCUCUGAGCCUCCCAGUCAACAGCAGUUGAAUGUGCGGUCGCAGGGUCGGCUGCCUCUCUGGGUGUGCGUUUUGUUGGGAGAAACCUGUCUUUUGUAAGCAGAGGUAGCGGAAAGAAAAUGUGGGCUUUGGAGCCAGACACGGGAUCCUGUCUCAUGAUGAAUGUAGCUCAAUUUCCCACCGCAGCCAGUGGCAUAUUGCUUCAUACAUAAAUGCCUAUAAAAAAAAUGGAAAACAGAGCUGGAGCGAAUGCAGCCCAGACCUUCUCCGUAUGUGUAUUCUUUGUUUAUGGUGGCGUUUUGCUUUGUUUUGUUGCAGCUGGGGAUCCGUUGUAGUCUUUUUCCUCCUCGGUAGCUCAGAGGCAGUGAGCUAGGGCUUCUGGGGGCCCCACGGUCCAGAGGGUUCUGCCUGUGGCGUAUCGACCUAGAGAGCCAGCCCAGGAGCCCAGUCCAUCACUCCUGAUUUGACCCUGUCCUGUUUACUCUGUCGGGGUAAAAGCGCAGGCCAGGCUCGGCUCGUCGGUGCAUGACUUUGUCAGAGGCAGGCUUGGCUACUCCGAGUCAGCCUGAACAAAUUACCUCCCUCACGCCAUCGCCGAACCGGGAGCAGGGUUAUAACUCAGUCUAAGCACCGGUCCCUCUCCUCUUGCCUUCAUAACCAAGGUCAUACUAAUCAGCUCAAUUACCAGUCCUCUCGGACAUUUUCAUAAUGUUUUCUGCUAGUUGCUCUCCUGUGAAAAUCUCUCGGUCUAAGCAAAUUAAUGCCAUUUUUAUAACCAUCUCCAUUUCAGGUACAGUGGUCUCCUUUGAAAAGACUGUAUCGCCGGCCACAUAAACUAGCUUUCCCUCCCAGCAUAACAUCCAGACAAGGUUGGGGUAUUGCCCUCGUCCGUUCUGGAAUUUUUUUUUUUUUUAAAUACAUAAUGCAGAGAAAUGGUCUGAUUUUUAGGGAAACCUGAAAUCACAAGGAGCUUUGGUCGCUUCUGGGGGCAGAGCAUUGAAUCGCCUCUCUACCCUCUCACCCAUUCCCAACUUGGCAGCAAGCUGGGCAUUUCAGCCGGGCUUUUCCAGCCUGCACUUCCCGAGAUGGGAGAAGGUGGAAUUGCAUUAUUCCCCUCGAAGGGGGUAGUCGUAAUCCUGAUGAGUUUGCAGAUGUGUUUCCUUUUGCCUUCCCUUUGCCCCAUCUCACGUCACACCCCCUCCCCAGUCCACCCCCCCCCCCCCCCCNACACACACACACACACUUUGAGAGCCGUUGGGGGCGAUUGUAUAGCCUUCUGUCUUUCAGAUGUUUUUUCAGGUUAUCUAAUGUGAUUCCCAUAGCAGAUCUAUGAGCGUUCGAAAUCACCCCAUUUGGGCAAUAGCCCAUAUUUUGAAAAUUUCCUAACAGCACAAUUGCUGGGUAGCUUGUGCCUUGAAGGCGUUAGAUGGACUGGUGUUCUGAGUGGGUGCUGGUUAAGGGCCAUCCAGGUGCAAAAUGCAAACCACUGCUUUUCUUGAGCACAGGAAGCUAACCAGGGCACACGGUGACUGCUGGCUUUUCGUCUCUGAACGGCCACCUCUGGUGCAUGCUCAAAUUAUUAAUUAAAACGAAGCCCUGUAAUGCCAUGUCUGCAUCCAGUGGAAUGUGUCUUGCUCAUGGUAGGCCCUGACUAAAGCCCAGGUGAAUGAAUAAAUUAUUGCUCCACCUAUUAACCCUUCAAUGGACUCGCUUCUUUGCUCAGAAGAGACACCAAGCCGCGUAGAGAGGGCAAGACUGAUUUCAGCUUCAUCUGAAGUGCUUCUUCAUUCCUUUAUUUUAAAAAAAGGAGCGGGGAGCAAUGAAGCCAACAGGACACAGUGCUAGCAGUUCCACUCGUGAAUGGUGAGAAUAAAUGUUUUCCCACGCGUUCCAGCGUGGUUUUCAGACUAUUACAUUUCUCCCCAAACAUGCAUGUAAUGAUGGGGAGGUCUGGCUGGGCCUGGACCUCGAAGUCAGGGCAGGCGUUAGGUAAUAGAGCCAGCUCCGUGUACCCAUCAGGCACUGGGCCAGAACACGGUGCUGUACUGGUGUCUAGCGUCUCGUGGGAUUCUUCCCAUCCUGGGUCUUCUCAUCCUCUCCACCUGGAAGUCGGGAAAACUGAGACCCAGAAUGCCUGGGUCACUUUCCCAAGGUUGCACAAGCCAAAGGAGACAGAGACGAGCUUCAGGCCACAGUGAACUCACAUUCCCUGCUUUUGUUUUGCUGUGGUUGAUGUUUUUUUGGGGGUUUUCUUACAAACAUUUAAAAAACUGAGGUAUCACUCUCUCAACAGUCAUUUAUGCAUUUAAAAUAUACAAUUCUGGAAUUCCCGCUGUGGCUCAGUGGAAACGAGGAUGCAGUUUCAAUUCCUGGCUUUGCUCAGUGGUUAGGGGAUCCGGCACUGCUGUGAGCUGUGGUGUAGCUCACAGACGAGGCUUGGAUCCUGUGUUGCUGUGGCUGUGGUGUAGGCCAGUGGCUGUAGCUCCGAUUCAACCCCUAGCCUGGGAACUUCCAUACGCUGUGGGCACAGCCCUCAAAAAGCAAAAAUAUAUAUACAUAUAUAUAAAAUAUACAAUUCUUCUCUCCAUACAAAAUAAAAUGAGGGAUCUAAUUCAUUGGCAUUUGGUAAAUUUGCAGUGUUGCACCACCAUAACCUCCCUCUAGUUUCAAAACCCUCUCAUCAUCCCAGAAAUCCACCCUAUACCCACUAAAUAAUCACUUCUCGUUCCUCUCUGCCCACUCAUUUACUUUUGGUCUCUAUGGAUUUGACUGUUCUGGACAUUUCCUAUCAAAACAGUCAUAAAACAUGUGAGCUUUUGUGUCUGACUUCUUCUUUCACUUAGCACAGUGUUCUUGAGUUCAUCUCAGCUGUAGCCUGUGCCAGUACUUCAUUUUUAACAGCUGCAUAAUAUUCCACGAUAUCAAUAUAGCUCGUAUUGUUCAUGCAUGAUCCACUGAUGGACUGUAGGGUUCUGUCUGCCUAUUGGCUGUCCUGACUAUGGCUGUUGGGGACACUUAUGUACAAGUUUAUAUAUCCAUGUAUGUUUUUAUUUCUCUUGGGGAUAAACUUAGGAGUGGGCUUGCUGGUCAUACGGCGAAUCUAUGUUUAACUUUUUGAGGAACUGCCAGACUCUUUCCAGAGUGGCUGCCCCAUUUAGCAGAAAAUCCCUGCCCUUCAUCUAAGGCGCUAGACUGUUCCUUAAAUUCUUUCUGCAGAAAGAGUUAAGGAGGCUCCUCAGGUAACUGUAAUCAUCCCCGAGGGACCUGCUCAGCUCACAGCGCUGCGCGCGUGUGUAGCUGGAAUAGCCGGGAGGCAUCCAGUCCCCUGUUAUUUCCGUCUCUCUCCGCACCCUUUCCCACCCUAUUCAAGCUCUAUAUUACCCGCGAGUGAAGGAAGAUGGGCAACCUACAGACAUGGAGGGAGGUGGAGAGUGACACCUAGCCUUCCUGAGUGCCAGCUAGAAUCCUGGGCACUUUCACCUCUGCAUCUCUCUCUUCAGCACCCCUCAGGGAAGGGGAAGAAAUCCAGCCACAAAUCUAAACAAACUCCAAAGGAAACAGAGUUUGGAGAACUCCCUUAGCUUGCCCGGCAUCACAGAGCUUGUUUGCAUCCCAUCCGGAGACCAGAAUUGGGUCUCUCCACGCCUGCGUGGGCUGCCAUGGCCUCUAAGUCCUUCCUUCAUAUUUUGGAAAACUUUAAAAAAAAAGAGUGGGAGAUAUGAAGCAAACCUUGAAAAAGUUCAAGGUUCUUCAGAGUUCCCGUUGUGGUUCAGCAGGUUAAGAAUUGACUUGUCUCCGUGAGGAUGCAGGUUUGAUCCUUGGCCUCGCUCAGUGAGUUAAGGGUCCGGCAUUGCUGCAAGCUGCCGUGUAGGUCACCUCUGCAGCUCAGAUCCCACGCUGCUGUGGCGGCAGCUCCAAUUCGACCCCUACUCUGGGAACUUCCAUAUGCUGCGGGUGCCGCAAAACAGGGUGCCUUCCGCUUUAAAGCCUGGGCUACAGCUCGAUCCCAGAGCCUCUUUACAGAUCUUUUAAGCCUUUAGAGAGAAAGUUGUAGAGAGUCUGGUACACAUCAAUCCUGUGGGCUGGGCAGGUGCUUUUGCUAUUUUACAAACCAAAGCCCUCUCAACCGCCCCUGCCCCCCGUCCCCCGCUCACCAUCUUGAAAAGUCAACAGAUUUGGCCCCAGGGUGGAGGCGAGGAAGCUAUGACUCAGGACAGAACGUCCCCUGUGUCUAAAGUCUCCCACUUGGCAGGCAGCGGCUUCUGCCUAAGUCGAUUUUUCCCGACUCUGGCCUGGAGCUUGUUUUUAUCAUGUCCAGGGUCCCACUUGCAGGUCAGAGAGCACAGAAAGCCUUCGCUCCCAAGACCCAGGCCAGAAAGGCCAUCCAGGCCUGAACAGCAUGGCGGUGCCUGGCCUCACUGCACUUCUCCACCUGGAAGAUGGAGGGCUGUGUAGACAUGCGUUGUUUUCCUGUGGUCCCCCUCAGCCCCUGUUCUUGGAAUUCCCAAAAAUGGCAGGCAGGCCUCCUUUGCCUCUCUUCCCACCGCCCCCAACUCCCCAGCCCUUCUGCUGUCCUUCUGAAUCCAGGGAAGGCCCUCCAGCCCAGAAUUCGGUACAGGGCAGAGCAAGUGCCAACGUGUCCUUCCUGCUUCACACACAUGGCUAAAGCCAGAAACAGAUGUGGAAGCCAGCAGUGGACAGGAGGGCCUUCUAGCCAAACAGUCAUCGGACGGGGCCUGCGAAGCAGGUGGUAGGUAGGGUAGCUGGAGAGCCCCAGAUCAAGGGUCAGAGGCCUGGUGGUAGCCCAGCCUUGACACAGACCCCCUUUGUGACUCCAGGAAUGUCCCUUGUCCUCUCUGGACCCUUUUCCUGAAUGGGAACUAUGAGAGGGGUCCAGCUGAAACUGGCAUCUGUUAGGAGAGUUCUUAGAGCAGGCCACACCCUCCCAAGUAGCUCAGCAGGACAGGCCCUGUGGACCAGCACCCAGAACUCUCCUGUAACACAGCACAAUCUUUUUUUCUUUUUUCUUUUUCUUUGUUGGCCACCCCAUAGCAGAUGGAGUUCCCGGGCCAGGCAUCAGGAUGUAGCCGCAGUAGCAACCUACACCCCAACUGUCGCAACGCCGGCAUUGUGCCGGGCCUGGGAUCGAACCUGCGUCCUGGGUCUGCCAAGAUGCCACUCAUCCCUUUGUGCCACAGCGGGAACUCCAGACAUCACAGUCUUCAGGACAGCCUCCCUGCUUGUCCCACAAGGAGAUUUCAGACCAGCUGAGAUGACCAGCUCAGCGAUCCCAACUCGUCGUUGUCUCCACUAUCUCAGGAGAAGUUUCUGAAAUGCCCUUCAGUCGUCCAGUCUCCCAUGUGUGGUCAGGAGAAACAGUUUCCUGUUGAGUGCCCUGUGUUUCUUCUGCAUGUUUCCUUUUACAAACAUCAUCACAUUGAAUCCUCACCAACAUCCUGAUGGCACUGUCAUCAUCUCUGAUUUACGGUUGAGGAAAUACGGGAUCAGAAAGAGUAAAUGAUUUACCCCAGGUCAUGCAGCUAGCAAGUAGGAGAAUUGGAAUUUGACCCAGCUCUGACUCCAAAAGCCCUUGUCUCUGCUGCCUUCGGAUGCAUUUUCUUUUCUUUUCUUUUUCUUUUUCUUUUUUUUUUUUUUUUUGUCUUUCUGCCAUUUCUUGGGCCGCUGUCGCGGCAUAUGGAGGUUCCCAGGCUAGGGGUCCAAUCGGAGCCUGUAGCCGCCAGCCUACACCAGAGCCACAGCAACACGGGAUACAAGCUGCAUCUGCAGCCUACACCACAGCUCACGGCAAUGCCGGAUCCUUCACCCACGGAGCGAGGCCAGGGAUCGAACCCACAACCUCAUGGUUCCUAGUCGGAUUCGUUAACCACUGCGCCACGACGGGAACUUUGGAUGCAUUUUCUUGUGAGGAACAUCCUACAACCACACUGAUAUGAUCGCUUAAUUUUAUCUUUGGAUAAAGAUGGUACCAGUCUCAUCAGCCAGUGAAUUGUAUGUGUGCUCUAAAUAAUGACUGAUUGAGAAAAUUAAAUGUGGUAUAAAUUACUUCCCUGGGAGUAAAUGAUCGCAUGAGCCCAUCGUACAAGAUACAGUUUUUACUCUAAAAAAAAAAAACAAAAAACAAAAAAAAAAACUACUCU